rnacentral:rRNA from 1 species
UACGACGGGAGCUAGCGUUGUUCGGAAUCACUGGGCGUAAAGCGCACGUAGGCGGAUGUGUCAGUCAGGGGUGAAAUCCCGGAGCUCAACUUCGGAACUGCCCUUGAUACAGCACGUCUCGAGUCCGAGAGAGGUGAGUGGAAUUCCUAGUGUAGAGGUGAAAUUCGUAGAUAUUAGGAAGAACACCAGUGGCGAAGGCGGCGCAGUGGCGCGGUACUGACGCUGAGGUGCGAAAGCGUGGGGAGCAAACAGG